CUAAAUCCAUCGAAAAAGAAAAGACGGAUACAAAAGAUCCUAGAGAGGGAUGUGCUGGUGGAAGCAUCCUAUCUAACGUUUCGUUCAGACACUUUGGAGGAGCUAGAAAGAAAAGUCUAGCCGUUACGUCGCGUUAAGACUUUAAGAGCUUACAUUGUAAGAAGUAAGGUGGUACCGCGUGCAAACGUCCUUAUG
rnacentral:ncRNA from 1 species